AACGCAUAUUGCGCUCGAGGCUUCGGCCAAGAGCAUGUCUUCCUCAGCGUCGGGUUAAUACUCGCCCUACUCCAACAUGUUUGGAGCAAGAGCGGACCUGGCUGUCUCGGUGUUUGAUUUUCGGAUCAGACGCCGGGUCAGCUGAAGUACAGAGGUUGAUGCAUGGACCCGCUUAUGGGCCUCUACUGGGUAGGCAACUCGUUGCUAAUGCUUUAGUAGAUGGCGUGGAGCAGUGCUUGUCGUCCCAAUCCAGGAACUUUGGGCCUGUGCCGAAGCAAACCUCGAUUGUCUCGACCUGAGCUCAGGCAAGAUUACCCGCUGAAAUUA
rnacentral:misc_RNA from 1 species